GACGAACGCUGGCGGCGUGGAUUAGGCAUGCAAGUCGGACGGUAGGGCUUUAUCGUAAGAUAGAGUUUGAGAGUGGCGAACGGGUGAGUAACACGUAGGAAUCUACCCUUAAGACGGGGACAACCCAGGGAAACUUGGGCUAAUACCGGAUGAGAGUGCGAGAGAUUGCAUUUAAAAGGAUGGCGAAAGUUGUCGCUUAGGGAUGAGCCUGCGGUCUAUUAGUUAGUUGGUGAGGUAAGAGCUCACCAAGGCGAUGAUAGAUAGGCGGCCUUAACGGGUGGUCGCCCACACUGGGAUUGAGAUACGGCCCAGACUCCUACGGGAGGCAGCAGUCGAGAAUAGUCUACAAUGGCCGGAAGGCUGAUAGUGCGACGCCGCGUGAACGAGGGAGCCUUCGGGUGUAAAGUUCUUUAUUAUGUGAGCAGUGCUUCUUAUAUUAACAGUAUGGGAGAGAGAUAUUAGCAUAUGAAUAAGCAACGGCUAACUCCGUGCCAGCAGCCG
rnacentral:rRNA from 1 species